rnacentral:rRNA from 1 species
AGAGUUUGAUCCUGGCUCAGAGUGAACGCUGGCGGCAGGCCUAACACAUGCAAGUCGAACGGCAGCACAGAGGAGCUUGCUCCUUGGGUGGCGAGUGGCGGACGGGUGAGGAAUACAUCGGAAUCUGCCCAGUCGUGGGGGAUAACAUAGGGAAACUUAUGCUAAUACCGCAUACGACCUACGGGUGAAAGCGGGGGAUCGCAAGACCUCGCGCGAUUGGAUGAGCCGAUGUCCGAUUAGCUAGUUGGCGGGGUAAUGGCCCACCAAGGCGACGAUCGGUAGCUGGUCUGAGAGGAUGAUCAGCCACACUGGAACUGAGACACGGUCCAGACUCCUACGGGAGGCAGCAGUGGGGAAUAUUGGACAAUGGGCGCAAGCCUGAUCCAGCCAUGCCGCGUGGGUGAAGAAGGCCUUCGGGUUGUAAAGCCCUUUUGUCCGGAAAGAAAAGCUCGAGGUUAAUACCUUCGGGUUCUGACGGUACCGGAAGAAUAAGUACCGGCUAACUUCGUG